rnacentral:rRNA from 1 species
CCAUAUCAAUAAGCGGAGGAUGGUCCGUGUUUCAAGACGUAAUGGCUUUAAACGAGAUCAUAGAGGGUGACAAUCCCGUCUGCGACCGGUCGUGCGUUCAUCUACGAUACGCUUUCAAAGAGUCGAGUUGUUUGCGAUUGCAGCUCCAAAUGGGUGGUAAACAUCACUUAAGGCUAAAUAUUGGCGAGAGACCGAUAGCGAACAAGUACCGUGAGGGAAAGAUGAAAAGAACUUCGAAAAGAGAGUUAAACAGUACGUGAAAUUGUUGAAAGGGAAACGAUUGAAGUCAGUCGUGCUGGCGCGAAAUCAACCCUCUCAUCGGGAGAUCACAUGAUGUGGCGAGCCUCAAGACCGCCACAGCGUGUGAUCUCACGAUGAGGGGGAGCACUUUUGUGUCCGCUGGUUAACAUCAAUUUCGAACGUCAUAAAAAGGCUGGAGGGAUGUGGCUCCUUCGGGAGUGUUAUAACCUUUAGCGGAAUGUGGUGGUCG